GUUAUUACUGGGUAAUACCGGGUACGGUAACUGUUAUUACUGGGUAAUACCGGGUACGGUAACUGUUAUUACUGGGUAAUACCGGGUACGGUAACUGUUAUUACUGGGUAAUACCGGGUACGGUAACUGUUAUUACUGGGUAAUACCGGGUACGGUAACUGUUAUUACUGGGUAAUACCGGGUACGGUAACUGUUAUUACUGGGUAAUACCGGGUACGGUAACUGUUAUUACUGGGUAAUACCGGGUACGGUAACUGUUAUUACUGGGUAAUACCGGGUACGGUAACUGUUAUUACUGGGUAAUACCGGGUACGGUAACUGUUAUUACUGGGUAAUACCGGGUACGGUAACUGUUAUUACUGGGUAAUACCGGGUACGGUAACUGUUAUUACUGGGUAAUACCGGGUACGGUAACUGUUAUUACUGGGUAAUACCGGGUACGGUAACUGUUAUUACUGGGUAAUACCGGGUACGGUAACUGUUAUUACUGGG